CAACAUAUGGAUUUUGGGAACACCAGUAACAGGUGUCUUUGGCUGGAGUUGCAGUAAAAUCUUGUACUGCCCCUGCUUAAGAAUGUCCCAUGACUCUGUUACCUACAAGAUAAAGUGCAAAGCCCGAUGAUUUGUGAGAGCCUUUGCGAGCUGUGCUGCACUGACUGUAACUGUGUCCCUUCCUGAGCCUCUCCACUCCCCACACCCUAUACCCCAUGAUGCAGCCAUUCUGGAUGACUCAUUGUUGAAGUUCAAAUUCCCUGCCUUUUCAGCAGGAUUGACUCCCACCCCUUCCUAGCUGGAUUCUGC
rnacentral:lncRNA from 10 species